GCAGUUUGCACAAGAGUAAAACAACUUGCACAAAAUGGUUCUUAAUCAUAUACACAAUACUUUCUUUUGGUUUUACAAUUAGCCACAGCAUCCACCUCGCUGUGCAACUGUCCCAUCUCUCGCCCCCGAUGGCCCUUGAGGACGCCCAUAACCAACCUUGAUCCCAGAUGACUCGUUGGAUACAUCAAAGACACCUUCUUGAAUAUUUUGAAGUAUUUUAGCUGCAGUCUUUAUGAAU
rnacentral:misc_RNA from 1 species